AUCCCCUUAGCUCAGUGGUAGAGUAAUGUCUCAGGUUCGAUUCCUGGAGGGGAUA
rnacentral:tRNA from 1 species